ACACGUACUGUGCAAACGUUAUUCGGAAUCACUGGGCUUAAAGGGUGCGUAGGCGGCCGAUUAAGUAGGGUGUGAAAUACCUCGGCUCAACCGAGGAACUGCGCUCUAAACUGGUCGGCUUGAGUGAGAUAGGGGCGUGCGGAACUUCCAGUGGAGCGGUGAAAUGUGUUGAUAUUGGAAGGAACGCCGGUGGCGAAAGCGGCACACUGGGUCUCAACUGACGCUGAGGCACGAAAGCCAGGGUAGCGAACGGGAUUAGAAACCCCAGUAGUCC
rnacentral:rRNA from 1 species